UUUCGCUCGCGAGCGAAGGAUUGGAUGGGAGAUGGCCGGUAAUAGGUUUCAGUCGAUCUCUCGCGACGACUGAAACCCAUUUCCAUCUCUCGGGCCAUCUCCCGUCCGAUCCUGCAUCCAUCGCUCGCGAGGGUCUCGAGGGAUCCCAAAUCGUCGAGGGUAUCCGACACUUCCCAAGCUCUUCUCUCCUCCGGGUAGAGGGUUUCGUUCAAGAAUGGCUCUUCCAGCGGGUUCUUGGAAGGGAUCGAGCGGCGGGAGCCUGAGCUUCUCCGGGUUCCUCGCAUCAGGGAGGGUGGUUCUUGGAAGAGAACGAAUCGUCGCGCCCGAUGGGGUUUUUGGUUCCUAUGCAUCGCAACUUCCUCUGUUCCCGCUAAUGUUUCGUUCAUGAACGGCGCUUCCGACGAGUUCUUGGACGAGAACGAGCCACGGAGCCGGAGUUCGAACCCCACCAGGUUCUUGGAAGAGGUUUCAUUUCCAAAUGCCCGAGAGGAUCUCGGAUUCCUGCGCUUCCUAAACUUUUAUUUCCUCUCUCAAGGGUUUCGUUCAAGAACGGCGCCUCCAGCGAGUUCUUGGAGGAGGUUUAAGGUGUUCUUUAAUGAGUUUUUGGAAGAUAACCACCCGCGAAGCCGGAGUUUCUUUAAACUAUGUAUGUUCUUUAAAGAAGCCGGAGCUUCUUCAACCUCCAGCUACUUCUUGGAAGAGGUUUAAGGUGGUUUCCUUUUCUUUGGCUGGCCUUGCCCUCUGCAAUGCCGAUCACAUGGUGAUGUCUGUGGCCAUCGGUCUGCUCUCCAGAGCCCAUGGCAUCGUUCAGGAGAAAAAUGCUCUUCUGGGAAUGGAGAUUUGGGAAGACUGAUGUGGCUUAUGUAAGCAACAUAUCUCUAAGAAGGGCCAAGAAGAGGUUUCUGAAGAUUGGCUUGAGGAUUAAAUAGGGAACCAAUUAUAAUGCAUGCGUGAACUUGCAUGGUUAACAUUAUAUGCAUAUCAGAGAGAGAGAGAGAGAGAGAGGAAGCUGUGAAUAGUGACAAGAGGACAAAUUACCGAAUGCAGUGAAUAGUGACAAGAGGACAAAUUACCGAAUGCAGGGGUGUGAUCUGAUACGUUGAUCUUGACGUUGAGGUGGCUGUGAAUAGUGACAAGAGGACAAAUUACCGAAUGCACUAUCAGUACAUAAAACUGCACAUAUGAUAUAUGCUUUCUGGGGCUUUAGGCUUUUAUGUGGAAACGUUCAUAUUUGUUUAACAUUACAACACGAUUUGUUUAACAUUACAACUUUAAAGGGUUUUGGUGUCUGUAACAUAUUUGUUUAACUUUAAUGUCUGUAACAACAUUAGAACUGAUGUGGUUGCUGUUUAAUGACGAGGGGAUUGGCUUGAGUGGGGCUUGCGGUGU